AUACGAAGGGUGCAAGCGUUACUCGGAAUUACUGGGCGUAAAACGUGCGUAGGUGGUUUGUUAAGUCUGAUGUGAAAGCCCUGGGCUCAACCUGGGAAUGGCACUGGAUACUGGCAAGCUAGAGUGUGGCAGAGGGUAGUGGAAUUCCUGGUGUAGCAGUGAAAUGCGUAGAGAUCAGGAGGAACAUCCGUGGCGAAGGCGACUGCCUGGGCCAACACUGACACUGAGGCACGAAAGCGUGGGGAGC
rnacentral:rRNA from 1 species